CGCUGGCGGCGUGCCUAAUACAUGCAAGUCGAGCGCAGGAAAUCGACGGAACCCUUCGGGGGGAAGUCGAUGGAAUGAGCGGCGGACGGGUGAGUAACACGUAAAGAACCUGCCCUCAGGUCUGGGAUAACCACGAGAAAUCGGGGCUAAUACCGGAUAGGUCAUCGAACCGCAUGGUUCGAGGAUGAAAGGCGCUUCGGCGUCGCCUGGGGAUGGCUUUGCGGUGCAUUAGCUAGUUGGUGGGGUAAUGGCCCACCAAGGCGACGAUGCAUAGCCGACCUGAGAGGGUGAUCGGCCACACUGGGACUGAGACACGGCCCAGACUCCUACGGGAGGCAGCAGUAGGGAAUCUUCCACAAUGGACGAAAGUCUGAUGGAGCAACGCCGCGUGAACGAUGAAGGCCUUCGGGUCGUAAAGUUCUGUUGUAAGGGAAGAACAAGUGCCGCAGGCAAUGGCGGCACCUUGACGGUACCUUGCGAGAAAGCCACGGCUAA
rnacentral:rRNA from 1 species